rnacentral:tRNA from 1 species
AGCACAGUCAGCUAAACAAGCUCUUGGGCCCAUACCCCAAAAAUGCUGUACACACAGCCUGUGCCA